AGUGAACGCUGGCGGUAGGCCUAACACAUGCAAGUCGAACGGCAGCACAGUAAGAGCUUGCUCUUACGGGUGGCGAGUGGCGGACGGGUGAGGAAUACAUCGGAAUCUACUUUUUCGUGGGGGAUAACGUAGGGAAACUUACGCUAAUACAGCAUACGACCUACGGGUGAAAGCAGGGGAUCUUCGGAUCUUGCGCGAUUGAAUGAGCCGAUGUCGGAUUAGCUAGUUGGCGGGGUAAAGGCUCACCAAGGCGACGAUCCGUAGCUGGUCUGAGAGGAUGAUCAGCCACACUGGAACUGAGACACGGUCCAGACUCCUACGGGAGGCAGCAGUGGGGAAUAUUGGACAAUGGGCGCAAGCCUGAUCCAGCCAUACCGCGUGGGUGAAGAAGGCCUUCGGGUUGUAAAGCCCUUUUGUUGGGAAAGAAAAGCAGCAGGUUAAUACCCCGCUGUUCUGACGGUACCCAAAGAAUAAGCACCGGCUAACUUCGUG
rnacentral:rRNA from 1 species